UAGGGAAUCUUCGGCAAUGGGGGGAACCCUGACCGAGCAACGCCGCGUGAGUGAAGAAGGUUUUCGGAUCGUAAAGCUCUGUUGUUAAGGAAGAACGAGUGUGAGAAUGGAAAGUUCAUACUGUGACGGUACUUAACCAGAACGGGCCGGCUAACUACGUACCAGCAGCCGCGGUAAUACGUAGGUCCCGAGCGUUGCCCGGAUUUAUUGGGCGUAAAGCGAGCGCAGGCGGUUAGAUAAGUCUGAAGUUAAAGGCAGUGGCUCAACCAUUGUAGGCUUUGGAAACUGUUUGACUGGAGUGCAGAAGGGGAGAGUGGAAUUCCGUGUGUAGCGGUGAAAUGCGUAAAUAUAUGGAGGAACACCGGUGGCGAAAGCGGCUCUCUGGUCUGUAACUGACGCUGAGGCUCGAAAGCGUGGGGAGCGAACAGG
rnacentral:rRNA from 1 species